rnacentral:lncRNA from 1 species
CUCCAUCACUUCGGAGCCCCUUUGUGGGCUGCACAUUCUGUAGCCCUGAAAGAGUCUACAGCUCUUCCAAAGCACCCUGAGGUGAGGCUUCCACACCCAGACCAGGUUCAGGCUCUGCAUCCAAACCUGACCAGGUCAUAGCUUGACCUUUGGACCCAGAGCUUCCAGAACUCCACAGUCCACUCAGAAGCUAGACCUUCUCCAACUAUGCAGGAGACUCUCCCCUCUAAGCCUCCAGAACCACCCAAGGAGCCUGUCACUCAACUCUGGUGCCUCAUGAUGUGAGUCCCACCUUCAGCUCAGGAGUCUGCUCAACAUCCAAUGUCACAAAGGGUCACAGGCCACCCUUGGACCUGGUGUUCCUCACAGCUGCAAUGCCCACCACAGAGGCUGCACUUCCUGUAGCCCUGCAAAAGGCUGCAAUCUGUCUGCCUCCACAGCACACUGAGAUAAAGAAAGGAGAAAGAAGAUGAACACUGAAAAAGGAUGAAGAGGAGAAGACAGCUGAAUGAGACUCUCUGCAUAUCAACUUGGAUCUUUCAGUUUUAGCCUUGUUACCUUGGGCAAAUUAUUUAGCUCAGUGACUCAAUUUCCUCAUCCACAAAAUGGGGCCUAUGAAUCCAUAGGUAGAACAAUCCAGAGGGGAAUGCCCACUUCAGGAAGACCACCUAGAAUGCUCCAGCAAAACCCAGGAGUGUGGGAGAGGGGUGGAGUCAGAGUGGCUGUAAGGAGAGAAAAUGCAGGGAGCACUACAGAGGAAGGACACAGAUGAGCAAUGAGCAAACAGCUGGGGAUGGAUGCACAGAAAGGACACAGCUCAAACUGGACUGUGCAGGCCACCUGUGGUGGUAGCGAGAAGGCAGCA